UGGGGAAUAUUGCACAAUGGGCGCAAGCCUGAUGCAGCCAUGCCGCGUGUGUGAAGAAGGCCUUCGGGUUGUAAAGCACUUUCAGCGAGGAGGAAGGGGCUGACGUUAAUAUCGUUGGUCAUUGACGUUACUCGCAGAAGAAGCACCGGCUAACUCCGUGCCAGCAGCCGCGGUAAUACGGAGGGUGCGAGCGUUAAUCGGAAUAACUGGGCGUAAAGGGCACGCAGGCGGUAAAUUAAGUCGGAUGUGAAAUCCCCGGGCUCAACCUGGGAACGGCAUUCGAAACUGGUUUGCUGGAGUCUUGUAGAGGGGGGUAGAAUUCCAUGUGUAGCGGUGAAAUGCGUAGAGAUGUGGAGGAAUACCGGUGGCGAAGGCGGCCCCCUGGACAAAGACUGACGCUGAGGUGCGAAAGCGUGGGGAGCAAACAGG
rnacentral:rRNA from 1 species